rnacentral:rRNA from 1 species
UUUAGUAGCCACACCAUCUUGGGUUCUGAUCUUACCAUUCGUAUAAGCAAAGCAGUGAUGAGCUGGGUCAUUACUUGGAUGGGAGACCACCAAGGAAAGAACAGGAAAUUGUGUUGCUGACU